AGAGUUUGAUCCUGGCUCAGGAUGAACGCUGGCGGCGUGCUUAACACAUGCAAGUCGAGCGAAGCACCUUGACGGAUUUCUUCGGAUUGAAGCCUUGGUGACUGAGCGGCGGACGGGUGAGUAACGCGUGGGUAACCUGCCUCAUACAGGGGGAUAACAGUUGGAAACGGCUGCUAAUACCGCAUAAGCGCACAGUACCGCAUGGUACGGUGUGAAAAACUCCGGUGGUAUGAGAUGGACCCGCGUCUGAUUAGGUAGUUGGUGGGGUAACGGCCUACCAAGCCGACGAUCAGUAGCCGACCUGAGAGGGUGACCGGCCACAUUGGGACUGAGACACGGCCCAAACUCCUACGGGAGGCAGCAGUGGGGAAUAUUGCACAAUGGGGGAAACCCUGAUGCAGCGACGCCGCGUGAGCGAUGAAGUAUUUCGGUAUGUAAAGCUCUAUCAGCAGGGAAGAAAAUGACGGUACCUGACUAAGAAGCCCCGGCUAACUACGUGCCAGCAGCCGCGGU
rnacentral:rRNA from 1 species